CCCCUAGAUGUUCUGGGCCGCACGCGCGCUACACUGAACAGUUCAACAAGUCUUAACCUUGGCCGAUAGGUCUGGGUAAUCUUUGAACGCUGUUCGUGAUUGGGAUAGACCUUUGCAAUUAUGGGUCUUCAACGAGGAAUUCCUAGUAAACGCAAGUCAUAAGCUUGCAUUGAUUACGUCCCUGCCCUUUGUACACACCGCCCGUCGCACCUACCGAUUGAAUGGUCCGGUGAAAUCUCGGGACGGCGGCUUGGUCGCUUGCGUCCGACUGCUGAAACUUGAUUAAACCAUAUCAUUUAGAGGAAGGUGAANUCGUANCA
rnacentral:rRNA from 1 species